rnacentral:misc_RNA from 1 species
GAUGAAGAACGUAGCAAAAUGCGAUAAGUAAUGUGAAUUGCAGAAUUCAGUGAAUCAUCGAAUCUUUGAACGCACAUUGCGCCCGCUGGUAUUCCGGCGGGCAUGCCUGUUCGAGCGUCAUUUCAACCCUCAAGCCCCCGGGUUUGGUGUUGGGGAUCGGCUCUGCCCUUCUGAGCGGUGCCGCCCCCGAAAUACAUUGGCGGUCUCGCUGCAGCCUCCAUUGCGUAGUAGCUAACACCUCGCAACUGGAACGCGGCGCGGCCAUGCCGUAAAACCCCAACUUCUGAAUGUUGACCUCGGAUCAGGUAGGAAUACCCGCUGAACUUAAGCAUAUCAAUAAGCGGAGGA